AUAUAUUUCUCGGCCUUUUGGCUAAGAUCAAGUGUAGUAUCUAUUCUUAUCAAUUUGAUAUCUGAUAUGUGAGCCAUCAGUUCACACGGUAUUAAAUUAUUUUUUCAUAGAGGAAUUCCCCAUCACAGUAGCUUGCUGCUGGGUUUCUCACCGCGUCGCCCCUACGUUGCACUACUACAAGGGCCUGGCACACCACUA